rnacentral:rRNA from 1 species
AGUGAACGCUGGCGGUAGGCCUAACACAUGCAAGUCGAACGGCAGCACAGUAAGAGCUUGCUCUUACGGGUGGCGAGUGGCGGACGGGUGAGGAAUACAUCGGAAUCUACUUUUUCGUGGGGGAUAACGUAGGGAAACUUACGCUAAUACCGCAUACGACCUACGGGUGAAAGCAGGGGAUCUUCGGACCUUGCGCGAUUGAAUGAGCCGAUGUCGGAUUAGCUAGUUGGCGGGGUAAAGGCCCACCAAGGCGACGAUCCGUAGCUGGUCUGAGAGGAUGACCCGCCACCUGGGACAUGAGACACGGCCCAAACUCCCACGGGAGGCAGAAGGGGGGAAUUUUGGACAAGGGGCGCAACCCUGACCCACCCAUACCGGGUGGGUGAAGAAGGCCUUUGGGUUUUAAAGCCCUUUUUUUGGGAAAAAAAAGCAGCAGGUUAACCCCCCGCUGUUUUGACGGUACCCAAAGAAAAAGCACCGGCUAACUUCGU